AGGGAAAGGCGAAAAGAACCCCGGCGAGGGGAGUGAAAAAGAACCUGAAACCGUGUACGUACAAGCAGUGGGAGCACGCUUAGGCGUGUGACUGCGUACCUUUUGUAUAAUGGGUCAGCGACUUAUAUUCUGUAGCAAGGUUAACCGAAUAGGGGAGCCGAAGGGAAACCGAGUCUUAACUGGGCGUUAAGUUGCAGGGUAUAGACCCGAAACCCGGUGAUCUAGCCAUGGGCAGGUUGAAGGUUGGGUAACACUAACUGGAGGACCGAACCGACUAAUGUUGAAAAAUUAGCGGAUGACUUGUGGCUGGGGGUGAAAGGCCAAUCAAACCGGGAGAUAGCUGGUUCUCCCCGAAAGCUAUUUAGGUAGCGCCUCGUGAAUUCAUCUCCGGGGGUAGAGCACUGUUUCGGCAAGGGGGUCAUCCCGACUUACCAACCCGAUGCAAACUGCGAAUACCGGAGAAUGUUAUCACGGGAGACACACGGCGGGUGCUAACGUCCGUCGUGAAGAGGGAAACAACCCAGACCGCCAGCUAAGGUCCCAAAGUCAUGGUUAAGUGGGAAACGAUGUGGGAAGGCCCAGACAGCCAGGAUGUUGGCUUAGAAGCAGCCAUCAUUUAAAGAAAGCGUAAUAGCUCACUGGUCGAGUCGGCCUGCGCGGAAGAUGUAACGGGGCUAAACCAUGCACCGAAGCUGCGGCAGCGACGCU
rnacentral:rRNA from 1 species